UACGUAGGGGGCAAGCGUUGUCCGGAAUCAUUGGGCGUAAAGAGCGUGUAGGCGGCCCGAUAAGUCCGCUGUGAAAGUCCAGGGCUCAACCCUGGAAUGCCGGUGGAUACUGUCGGGCUCGAAUCCGGAAGAGGUGAGUGGAAUUCCCAGUGUAGCGGUGAAAUGCGCAGAUAUUGGGAAGAACACCAGUGGCGAAGGCGGUUCUCUGGGACGGUACUGACGCUGAGACGCGAAAGCGUGGGGAGCGAACAGG
rnacentral:rRNA from 1 species